UGGGGAAUAUUGGACAAUGGGCGAAAGCCUGAUCCAGCCAUGCCGCGUGUGUGAAGAAGGUCUUCGGAUUGUAAAGCACUUUAAGUUGGGAGGAAGGGCAGUAAGUUAAUACCUUGCUGUUUUGACGUUACCAACAGAAUAAGCACCGGCUAACUUCGUGCC
rnacentral:rRNA from 1 species